rnacentral:misc_RNA from 1 species
GAUGAAGAACGUAGCGAAAUGCGAUAAGUAAUGUGAAUUGCAGAAUUCAGUGAAUCAUCGAAUCUUUGAACGCACAUUGCGCCCCCUGGUAUUCCGGGGGGCAUGUCUGUUCGAGCGUCAUUUCACCACUCAAGCCUCGCUUGGUAUUGGGCAACGCGGUCCGCCGCGUGCCUCAAAUCGUCCGGCUGGGUCUUCUGUCCCCUAAGCGUUGUGGAAACUAUUCGCUAAAGGGUGUUCGGGAGGCUACGCCGUAAAACAACCCCAUUUCUAAGGUUGACCUCGGAUCAGGUAGGGAUACCCGCUGAACUUAAGCAUAUCAAUAAGCGGAGGA